GCCUACCACCACCAACUCACCCUAAAUGCAUCCGAUCUAUUCAUAUCUCAGACGCUAAGCAGGUUGGAUCCUGUUUAAGUACUUAGAUGGGAGACCGCCAUGGCUGGCUAAGUGUUGUAGGCA
rnacentral:rRNA from 1 species